GGAGGAGGCAAGCGUUUGUUCGGAAUUACUGGGCUUAAAGCGUGUGUAGGCGGGAUGGAAGGUAUCGUGUGAAAGCCCCCGGCUCAACCGGGGAACGGCACGGUAAACCACCAUUCUUGAGGCCAGCAGGGGAACCUGGAACUUUGGGUGGAGCGGUGAAAUGCGUAGAUAUCCAAGGGAACGCCGGUGGCGAAAGCGGGGUUCUGGGCUGGUUCUGACGCUGAGACACGAAAGCGUGGGGAGCAAACAGGAUUAGAUACCCUGGUAGUCCACGCCGUAAACGAUGCGCACUAGGUAUCAGCGCCUCUGACGGGGUUUGGUGCCCGAAACCAAAAGCGAUAAGUGCGCCGCCUGGGGAGUACGGCCGCAAGGCUA
rnacentral:rRNA from 1 species